UUUAGUUAUGGUGAUAUGGUCCCAAAGACAAUUAUGGGCCAACUAAUAGGAGGCACCUGCGCACUCUCUGGAGUCUUGGUGAUUGCUCUACCUGUUCCCUUCAUUGUGUCCAAC
rfam:Hymenolepis microstoma genomic scaffold, pathogens_HYM_scaffold_0004